rnacentral:rRNA from 1 species
AUUGAACGCUGGCGGCAGGCUUAACACAUGCAAGUCGAGCGGGGGAAGGUAGCUUGCUACUGGACCUAGCGGCGGACGGGUGAGUAAUGCUUAGGAAUCUGCCUAUUAGUGGGGGACAACAUCUCGAAAGGGAUGCUAAUACCGCAUACGUCCUACGGGAGAAAGCAGGGGAUCUUCGGACCUUGCGCUAAUAGAUGAGCCUAAGUCGGAUUAGCUAGUUGGUGGGGUAAAGGCCUACCAAGGCGACGAUCUGUAGCGGGUCUGAGAGGGUGAUCCGCCACACUGGGACUGAGACACGGCCCAGACUCCUACGGGAGGCAGCAGUGGGGAGUAUUGGACAAUGGGGGGAACCCUGAUCCAGCCAUGCCGCGUGUGUGAAGAAGGCCUUAUGGUUGUAAAGCACUUUAAGCGAGGAGGAGGCUACUCUAGUUAAUACCUAGGGAUAGUGGACGUUACUCGCAGAAUAAGCACCGGCUAACUCUGUGCCAGCCGCCGCCGUAA